UACGGAGGGUGCGAGCGUUGUCCGGAAUCAUUGGGCGUAAAGGGCGCGUAGGUGGCCCGGUGAGUCUUUGGUGAAAGCGCGGGGGCUCAACCCUGCGUCGGCCAGGGAUACUGCCGCGGCUCGAGCACUGUAGAGGCAGGCGGAAUUCCGGGUGUAGCGGUGGAAUGCGUAGAGAUCCGGAAGAACACCGGUGGCGAAGGCGGCCUGCUGGGCAGUGGCUGACGCUGAGGCGCGACAGCG
rnacentral:rRNA from 1 species